ACGUUAGCGGCGGACGGGUGAGUAACACGUGGGUAACCUACCUAUAAGACUGGGAUAACUUCGGGAAACCGGAGCUAAUACCGGAUAAUAUUUCGAACCGCAUGGUUCGAUAGUGAAAGAUGGUUUUGCUAUCACUUAUAGAUAGACCCGCGCCGUAUUAGCUAGUUGGUAAGGUAACGGCUUACCAAGGCGACGAUACGUAGCCGACCUGAGAGGGUGGUCGGCCACACUGGAACUGAGACACGGUCCAG
rnacentral:rRNA from 1 species